UACCUAUGCACUUAAUUAAAGCCAAUAUGGAUGAGCAGCUUAAGCAUUGUCAUGAGGCGCCAUUCUACACUCUUGGU
rnacentral:tRNA from 1 species